UACGAAGGGGCUAGCGUUGCUCGGAAUCAGCUGGGCGUAAAGCGCACGUAGGCGGACUCUUAAGUCGGUGGUGAAAUCCUGGAGCUCAACUCCAGAACUGCCUUCGAUACUGGGAGUCUCGAGUUCGGGAGAGGGUGAGUGGAACUGCGAGUGGUAGAGGUGAAAUUCGUAGAUAUUCGCAAGAACACCAGUGGCGAAGGCGGCUCACUGGCCCGUUACGUCGACGGCUGAGGCACGGAAAGCGAUGGGGGAGC
rnacentral:rRNA from 1 species